UGCCUAUCCUGUAGGAAAGAGAAAAGGCAGGGAGUUUAAUACAUGUCAAACGUCUGUCCUGUGUGGAGUUGUACUCCUGAGAGAAAGGACCUGGGUUUGUGCCAUGCAGUGCUGAAGAGAAACACAGCCAUCUUCCCUGAAAGUGGGCCGGCAGGUUAAAUGUGAUAAAUAGGCACGGAGUCUCAGUUGCUUCUCAAAAGGAAGGUUAAUGAACAGAUAAUUGUUUAAACACAUUCUUAAACCAUUAUUUUCAGCCAGACUGACAAGCAGAUCUGCAUGGACAAACAAGUUCUGGGGCAGCAGAAGAGCAGGCAGAAAUGCUGGUGGGACAGGAGGGCCAGGCUGCUUCUGUUCUGUUAGGCCCUCAGAGAUUGGCUACGCUGCUUGUCAAGUUGCAUCUUUGGCAGUUCUUCAACCAGAAGUCAAAUAUGCUGGCUGGAUAUACAAAUAUGCAGCCUGAUAUACUUACCUUUGGGCAUAUCCGGACUUGUGCAGGUAGAGAAUUUCCAAGUGUAGUUCAACGUAGAGUUCUUAAUUUGAUGUUGUUCUGCCUCAUGCUGUCACAACAUGCUCCAGCCAAGGAUGAGUGAAGUUUUCAAACAGGCCAGGCUUCCUUACUCAGAGUUUGCACGCAGCUAAUCUGAGGAAACUGAAAGGUUUCCACCAAAAUGGUGAGUUUUGCCAAGCUCUGGCUGAUCUGACUCUCAGAAGGUAAACCCAAUUUUGCAAAAACAGAGACGUAAAUGGCCAGAUUCCAUUGCCAGUGAAACCUUGAUGUUUCUCAAUUUCCCCUGUGCUGUUUCAAAAGACUGAAGGAUUUGCUUGCAGUUCCAAUCAGGUGCUCCUGUAUAAAGUUGCCAUGUGUUCUCAUGCUACCAUGAGAAUACCAUACCAUAUAUAUGGGUGCAACAAAGAAUACAAAAAACUCAAUCUUCAUACACGUUUGAAAAUACACACAUUUAUAAAUCAUCAUAAGAUCUUUCUGGGUGAAUGGCAUUACAUAAAGUGAAGAUACUUGUUCCAACAGCUAACCUAAAUAUUCUAUAUAAACCAGCAUUCUGGCAUUGUGAAAAGAACCAAAGCAUGCAACAAUUUAUGGGUAAGGAGGAAUUCUGUGAUGCUAAGGGUAAGAUUAAUAUAAAGUUAGAGAAUGACUCAUUUCUAACUGUGUGACUCAUGCUCUCAGUAAAUAAAUUACCCAAGACAAAUGACUCAGAAAUAGAUGCUGUAGUAUUAUUAUUGUUUUAAUCAGAUGUUGCAAAUAAACAUGAGGCUUGAUUUCAGAUAUAACAAAUAUAGCUGUAGCCUACACAUUAUGUCAUAGUGCUGCUUGAGAAUGUGCUGCACAUGCCAAAAUUGCUUAUCUGAUGUUUUGUUUUCAGUUUUAGGUGGAUGGUAUAGCUGGCAACUGGGUGUCUAAAGCAGCCUUUAACAUGGCCACUGAGAAUCUCAGCACUGGACUUGGACAAGAAAAAUCUAGCGUGCAUUUAUCAGCAAAAGUCAGAAGACAAAGGAAGGUGAUGUUCUAAAACACCUUUGUGCUUGGUCCCCCAGAAAAGGAGCUGAAAGGAGGACAACAUCAAGCUAACUGUAAGCCUGGCCAAGAAAAGGCAUUUUCUGUUACUUCCAAAGAAUUUAAAGUGAACAUAUUAUAUCACCAAA